rnacentral:rRNA from 1 species
ACGAACGCUGGCGGCGUGCCUAAUACAUGCAAGUCGAGCGAGCUCUCCCAAAUUGAUUUUAUGCUUGCGUAAAUGAUUUUUGGAUUCGGAGCGAGUGGCGAACUGGUGAGUAACACGUGGGUAACCUGCCCUGAAGCGGGGGAUAACAUUUGGAAACAAGUGCUAAUACCGCAUAAUUAGUUGGAACCGCAUGGUUCCAACUUGAAAGAUGGCUCUGCUAUCACUUUGGGAUGGACCCGCGCCGUAUUAGUUAGUUGGUGAGAUAAAAGCCCACCAAGACGAUGAUACGUAGCCGACCUGAGAGGGUAAUCGGCCACAUUGGGACUGAGACACGGCCCAGACUCCUACGGGAGGCAGCAGUAGGGAAUCUUCCACAAUGGACGAAAGUCUGAUGGAGCAACGCCGCGUGAGUGAUGAAGGUUUUCGGAUCGUAAAACUCUGUUGUUAAAGAAGAACAAGUGUUAGAGUAACUGUUAACACUUUGACGGUAUUUAACCAGAAAGCCACGGCUAACUACGUGCCAGCAGCCGCGGUAAUACGUAGGUGGCAAGCGUUGUCCGGAUUUAUUGGGCGUAAAGCGAGCGCAGGCGGUUUUGUAAGUCUGCUGUGAAAGCCCUCAGCUCAACUGAGGAAGUGCAGUGGAAACUACAAAACUUGAGUACAGAAGAGGAAAGUGGAACUCCAUGUGUAGCGGUGAAAUGCGUAGAUAUAUGGGAAGAACACCAGUGGCGAAGGCGGCUUUCUGGUCUGUUACUGACGCUGAGGCUCGAAAGCAUGGGUAGCGAACAGGAUUAGAUACCCUGGUAGUCCAUGCCGUAAACGAUGAAUACUAGGUGUUGGAGGGUUUCCGCCCUUCAGUGCCGCAGCUAACGCAUUAAGUAUUCCGCCUGGGGAGUACGACCGCAAGGUUGAAACUCAAAGGAAUUGACGGGGGCCCGCACAAGUGGUGGAGCAUGUGGUUUAAUUCGAUGCUACGCGAAGAACCUUACCAGCUCUUGACAUCUUCUGCCAACCCAAGAGAUUGGGCGUUCCCUUCGGGGACAGAAUGACAGGUGGUGCAUGGUUGUCGUCAGCUCGUGUCGUGAGAUGUUGGGUUAAGUCCCGCAACGAGCGCAACCCUUAUUAUUAGUUGCCAGCAUUUAGUUGGGCACUCUAGUGAGACUGCCGGUGAUAAACCGGAGGAAGGUGGGGACGACGUCAAAUCAUCAUGCCCCUUAUGAGCUGGGCUACACACGUGCUACAAUGGAUGGUACAACGAGUCGCGAAACCGCGAGGUCAAGCUAAUCUCUUAAAGCCAUUCUCAGUUCGGAUUGCAGGCUGCAACUCGCCUGCAUGAAGUUGGAAUCACUAGUAAUCGUGGAUCAGCAUGCCACGGUGAAUACGUUCCCGGGCCUUGUACUCACCGCC